rnacentral:rRNA from 1 species
GACGAACCGUGCGAACGUUGUUCGGAUUCACUGGGCUUAAAGGGCGCGUAGGCGGAUUGUCAAGUCGGGGGUGAAAGCCUCCAGCUUAACUGGAGAAGUGCCUUUGAUACUGAUGAUCUCGAGGGAGGUAGGGGCAUGUGGAACUUCCGGUGGAGCGGUGAAAUGCGUAGAUAUCGGAAGGAACGCCGGUGGCGAAAGCGACGUGCUGGACCUCUUCUGACGCUGAGGCGCGAAAGCUAGGGGAGCAAACGGG